rnacentral:rRNA from 1 species
UACAGAGGUCCCAAGCGUUGUUCGGAUUUACUGGGCGUAAAGGGUGCGUAGGUGGCGAGGUAAGUUUGAUGUGAAAUCUCCGAGCUCAACUCGGAAAUGGCAUUGAAUACUAUCCCGCUUGAGGGUCGGAGGGGAGACUGGAAUUCUCGGUGUAGCAGUGAAAUGCGUAGAUAUCGUAAGGAAGACCAGUGGCGAAGGCGAGUCUCUGGACAGUUACUGACGCUGAGGCACAAAGGCCAGGGGAGCAAACGGG